rnacentral:rRNA from 1 species
CAUGCAAGUCGAACGGAAAGUGCCCAGCUUGCUGGGUGACUCGAGUGGCGAACGGGUGAGUAACACGUGGGUGAUCUGCCCUGCACUUUGGGAUAAGCCUGGGAAACUGGGUCUAAUACCGAAUACACCCUGCUGGUCGCAUGGCCUGGUGGGGGAAAGCUUUUGCGGUGUGGGAUGGGCCCGCGGCCUAUCAGCUUGUUGGUGGGGUGAUGGCCUACCAAGGCGACGACGGGUAGCCGGCCUGAGAGGGUGUCCGGCCACACUGGGACUGAGAUACGGCCCAGACUCCUACGGGAGGCAGCAGUGGGGAAUAUUGCACAAUGGGCGCAAGCCUGAUGCAGCGACGCCGCGUGAGGGAUGACGGCCUUCGGGUUGUAAACCUCUUUCAACGCCGACGAAGCGGAAGUGACGGUAGGCGGAGAAGAAGCACCGGCCAACUACGUGCCAGCAGCCGCGGUAAUACGUAGGGUGCGAGCGUUGUCCGGAAUUACUGGGCGUAAAGAGCUCGUAGGUGGUUUGUCGCGUUGUUCGUGAAAACUCACA